AUGUCCUAGCUGGACAUAUACAUAUUAAAAUUGGAACGAUACAGAGAAGAUUAGCAUGGCCCCUGCGCAAGGAUAACACGCAAAAUCGUGAAGCGUUCUUUGAGAAU